AUUCUCUCCCACACGAAAUUCUCUCUCUUCCUCUUCUCUUAUACGCAAUUCUCUCUCUUCCUCCUCUCUCACUGGUUUUUCUCUCUCAUCCUACUUUCUCUGGAGCUCGAUUCUCUCAUGGUAUAUUGCUUCUCUCUCAACGGCAUUUCAUCAAUUGCUCGCAGCUAAUUCUAUCCCUUCCAAUAAUUUGUUCGUUGCUUCUAUGAUCUGAAAUUUUGUAGCUGGAGCUUCGGAUGAUGAAAUUGUUGGACUUGGAAGGCCUCCUUAGGCCAGUCAGUAAUAGCAUGGAGGAAGAAAAGGAAGCUGUAAAAAUUAUCAGCAGAAAAUAAACACGUGAUUCAGGAGUAUAUUCCAGACUUGGUAACCUCAACUAUAGCAAGAUUUGAUGCAAUCUUGAAGGUGUUUGAAUUUACUGAUGCAGUUGCUGCUUGCACAUACAACAGCAAACUGUGUUCAACCCUUCAAGGUUACUGUACUUCAAACACCGUGAACUUUUUAAUCCAGUAUGAAGCUCUAAUGCCUGCAGACUGCUGGUGUAGGCACAAGUGGUGUGCUUUAUAAGGAAUUUAUACACACGAGAUCUUAGAUCAGAACUGUGGCAGAUGUAUUUCGCAUUUUUUUGGAGUAACAUAAAUUUCCUGAUGAAAGGAAGGGAGUGUCUUUUAUUUAAUCCUUAUUAUUUUGAUGGGGAAGUGGAAAGUUGUCCUUGAAAUAUCUAUAGUUAC